GACGAACGCUGGCGGCGUGCUUAACACAUGCAAGUCGAACGGAAAGGCCCUGCUUUUGUGGGGUGCUCGAGUGGCGAACGGGUGAGUAACACGUGAGUAACCUGCCCUUGACUUUGGGAUAACUUCAGGAAACUGGGGCUAAUACCGGAUAGGAGCUCCUGCUGCAUGGUGGGGGGUGGAAAGUUUCGGCGGGUGGGGAUGGACUCGCGGCUUAUCAGCUUGUUGGUGGGGUAGUGGCUGACCAAGGCUUUGACGGGUAGCCGGCCUGAGAGGGUGAACGGCGACAUUGGGACUGAGAGACGGCCCAGACUCCUACGGGAGGCAGCAGGGGGGAAUAUUGCACAAUGGGCGGAAGCCUGAUGCAGCAACGCCGCGUGCGGGAUGACGGCCUGCGGGUUGUAAACCGCUUUCGCCUGUGACGAAGCGUGAGUGACGGUAAUGGGUAAAGAAGCACCGGCUAACUACGUG
rnacentral:rRNA from 1 species